UUCCGGUUGAUCCUGCCGGACCUGACUGCUAUCGGAUUGAUACUAAGCCAUGCGAGUCAUUGUAGCAAUACAAGGCAUACGGCUCAGUAACGCGUAGUCAACCUAACCUAUGGACGGGAAUAACCUCGGGAAAUUGAGAAUAAUGCCCGAUAGAACAUUAUGCCUGGAAUGGUUUAUGUUCCAAAUGAUUUAUCGCCGUAGGAUGGGACUGCGGCCUAUCAGUUUGUUGGUGAGGUAAUGGCCCACCAAGACUAUUACAGGUACGGGCUCUGAGAGGAGUAGCCCGGAGAUGGGUACUGAGACACGGACCCAGGCCCUAUGGGGCGCAGCAGGCGAGAAAACUUUGCAAUGUGCGAAAGCACGACAAGGUUAAUCCGAGUGGUUUCUGCUAAAGGAACCUUUUGUCAGUCCUAGAAACACUGAUGAAUAAGGGGUGGGCAAGUUCUGGUGUCAGCCGCCGCGGUAAAACCAGCACUUCAAGUGGUCAGGAUGAUUAUUGGGCCUAAAGCAUCCGUAGCCGGCUCUGUAAGUUUUCGGUUAAAUCUGUACGCUCAACGUACAGGCUGCCGGGAAUACUGCAAAGCUAGGGAGUGGGAGAGGUAGACGGUACUCGGUAGGAAGGGGUAAAAUCCUUUGAUCUAUUGAUGACCACCUGUGGCGAAGGCGGUCUACCAGAACACGUUCGACGGUGAGGGAUGAAAGCUGGGGGAGCAAACCGGAUUAGAUACCCGGGUAGUCCCAGCUG
rnacentral:rRNA from 2 species